CACGGGGGGAGCAAGCGUUGUUCGGAAUCACUGGGCGUAAAGGGCGUGUAGGCGGUUCGGUAAGUGGAAUGUGAAAUGCUCCGGCUCACCCGGAGUACUGCAUCCCAAACUGCCGAGCUUGAGUAUGGGAGAGGAUGAGGGAAUUCCUGGUGUAGCGGUGAAAUGCGCAGAUAUCAGGAGGAACACCGGUGGCGAAGGCGGGUCUCUGGGCCGAUACUGACGCUGAGGAGCGAAAGCGUGGGGAGCGAACAGG
rnacentral:rRNA from 1 species